UACGAAGGGGGCUAGCGUUGCUCGGAAUCACUGGGCGUAAAGCGCACGUAGGCGGAUCUUUAAGUCAGGGGUGAAAUCCUGGAGCUCAACUCCAGAACUGCCUUUGAUACUGGGGAUCUCGAGUCCGGAAGAGGUGAGUGGAACUCCGAGUGUAGAGGUGAAAUUCGUAGAUAUUCGGAAGAACACCAGUGGCGAAGGCGGCUCACUGGUCCGGUACUGACGCUGAUGCGCGACAGCGUGGGGAGCAAACAGG
rnacentral:rRNA from 1 species